rnacentral:misc_RNA from 1 species
AACCAUAGAAACCUGCGGAGUACCUGCGGAAGGAUCAUUACAUUCAGUAGCCUAGCUACUUGUUUACACCCUUGUUUUUUUGCGCACUUCAUUGUAUCCCUCGGCGGGCUUGCUCGCCGGUUGGACAACAUUUAUAACCUUUUUUAAUCUUCAAUCAGCGUCUGAAUUAUAUUUAAUAAUUACAACUUUCAACAACGGAUCU